CUGUUGAUGAUUUGUGAGUAUUUUAACUUAGGGUAUAAUUAUUUACUUUGGGUAACGGGUCGUAGGGGGGGGGGGGGUUGUGGUUGCAGAACGUGACGACCCUUACAAAAAAUAUUGAGGUACCAUACAAAAAGUGUGACAUAGCCCCAUGAAAACUUUGAGGUUUCUUGCAGGUAAUUCUUCCGGGAUCCGUUCAUUAAAGUUCAUUCCAGGAUUCCAUCAAUGAUUCUAUCCGGGUUUACUUACAUGGAUUAUUUCAGAAAAUGCAUCAGUUUCCACGAUUACGUGAGAUUUCUCCUGAAUUGCCUCCAGAGAUUCCUUUCAAGUUUUCUUCGUUGAGUUAGCCCAGAUUGUACUUAUUCCACCUGAUAUUCAUUCAGAGAUUCUUCCCGGGGUAUCUUAAGUGAUUUCUCCCGGGAUCCCACCAGAAGCUUCCUUCGUGAUUCAUCCUAUAUUUCCUACAGGAAUUUAUUCCUGUACAUCUUCGGGAUUCCUGUCGAUUCUUCUAAUGACUACUUUAAGGAUCAUUUCAGGGAUUUCUCCAGGCAUAUCUUCAGAGACUCUUUCCACGAUUUUUUCAGGAAUUCAUUCAGAGUUUCCUUCUGAGAUGUCUUGUAGAGAUUCCUUCUGAAAUUCUUUUGUUGGGGCUGUUUGGGCUCGUUUGGAAGUUAACCAUCAAUGUUAACGUCUUUCCCCGAUCAGCCUAGAUAGUGUGGUGUAUACCACACUUAAACGAUAAGCUACCUUGGUAGCGUUCUGAUUGAAACGUGAACAAUGUACGUUUGUAAAUAAUACUCUUUUGUAAAAGAUCUAAUAAGAGUAGAUGGCGAGCUGGCCCUCGCUCUCUUUUACGUUGUGAACUGAUCCUGAACGAAACAUCUUUUUAUUACGUCUCUCUUGAACAACAAUCUACUAGGUAAAUUAGUUUACCAUAAACUCAUUACUCGGUUAUAAAAGUGGCGACGAGAAAAAUAAAGGACUCUUUCAAGACGCGUGUGAUUAGUGCAAAAUAAAAAAAAAAUAAAAACAAAACGUUAAAGGCACAGCAGCUGCCUCAAAUUGAGUGUGUUCGAUUUCUGUCGGUAUUAGCACCUCUCCAAGCGGUAGGCAGUAAUCAUCAUUUGAAACCUCCUGUUGAAGUGUGGACAAAUCUCCAUUUGACGUCGUUAAAUAUAACUAAAAGUAAAAUCAGCAGAGUGGAACAGGGAAUCACAUUGCGCAACGGCGGCAAAAUUGUCUGGCCCGGUGCUACCUAUUGUCCUUUUUGUAUGUUUUGUUCAGCGUUUGGUAGGUAAGUGCUCAAAGAGUUGUUUUCGUUUCAAACUAUUGAAUAGGAUAGGAGAUGUGUGUAGCUACAAGUGAGUAAAUAUUGAUGUAUAAUAUGUGAAUAAUGAUAAUGGACCAAAUUGCUUUAAAAUUGACUAGUGCUAAAAAGGUUCUCGUGGAAGUACUUCUAAGAUGGCUAAUUGGUCAUUUGCGGCAGGAUUUGCGACUGAAGUGGCACUAAAAGCAAUGGAAUGCAACUGCACCAGCGAUUCGGCAUGCGAUGUGACGGGCGUGAACAACAGAGUUUCAAACGGAUGGCGGGCGAAAAAGUUCGUAGUACAUGUCGAGGUCAGACAAUGGCCAAACGGAGAAAUCGCAUUUGAAGGAAACAUCGAGCGUUUUUCACUGGAAAACAAGAUGCCUACUAAGGAGCAAAUGUUCCAUCUGAGAUGCCAAAUGGCGAAAAUUGAGAGCUAUGUUGCGAAUGUGCCUAAUGUGUUAAGUGUUAUUUGCGUAUUACAAAAUGUUGUGAUCUGUAUUAUGUUAGAUGACUAUGCUCAAAAAUAUUUAGUUUGUUUGUAUUGUCGUGGUCCUUAGGAUUUGUGAAUGGAUUUUUUUGUGAAACUGCACAGCUUAGAAUAGUACAACUUCAGAAUUGUUAAGGGGGGAGAACUGUGGUGUAUACCACACUUAAACGAUAAGCUACCUUGGUAGCGUUCUGAUUGAAACGUGAACAAUGUACGUUUGUAAAUAAUACUCUUUUGUAAAAGAUCUAAUAAAAGUAGAUGGCGAGCUGGCCCUCGCUCUCUUUUACGUUGUGAACUGAUCCUGAACGAAA